AACGAAAAGGAGACACAAGAGUACACACUGAAAACUACAAACAUUGCUAAGAGAAACUGAAAAAAAACCUAUAUAUAAUAAAUGGAAGACUAUUCUGUGCAUAGUUUGGCGAUGUUGUAAAGAUAACAGUUAUCAGCGUGAGCCACAGCGCCUGGCCCAAAAUUCACCCUUUUGAAGUGUACAAGUCAGUAGUUUUUAGUAUAUUCACAAGAUUGUGCGACUACCACCACUAUGUAAUUCUAGAGUACUUUCCUUACCCCCCAAAUAAACCCCACUAGCAGCCACUCCUCAUUUCCUCCUUCCUCUACCUUCUAGCAACCCACUAAUCUACUUUCUGUCUCAGCAGAUUUGCUGUUCUAGAUAUUUCACAUAAAUGAAAUCACACAAUAUGGCUUUUUGUGACUAGCUUCUUUGACUUAACAUGUUUUCAGGGUUCAUUCAUGUUGUAGCAUACAUCAACACUCCAUUUCUUUUCAUGGCUGAAUAAUAUUUUAUUGUAUGGAUAUGUCAUUUCAUUUAUCUGUCUGUCUGUUGAUAGAUGUUUGGGUUGCUUCUGCCUUUUGGCUAUUAUGAAUAAUGCUGCUGUACACAUUUGUAUACAAGUUUCUGUGAGGACAUAUGUUCUCAUUUGUGAUUAGUAUAAACCUUGACAUGGAAUGGCUGGGUCAUAUGGUAACAUUUAACCUUAUGAAGAACCACUAAACUGUUUCCCAAAGCAGUUGCACCACUUUACACUCCCACCAGCAAUGGAUGGGGGUUCCAGUUUCUUCAAGUCCUCACCAACACUUAUUAUUUUAGCCAUCCUAGUGGUUGUGAAGUGGUAUCUUAUUGUGGUUUUUAUUUUCAUAUUCCCAAUAACUAAAGAUGUUAAGUAUCUUUUCAUACGCUUAUUUUGCAUUUUUAUAACUUCUUUGGAGAAGUGCCUCUUCAAAUCCCUUGCCCAUCUUUAAAUUGGGCUAUCUUGUUAUUGAAUUGUAAGAGUUCUUUAUAUAUUCUGGAUACUGGGCCUUUCUCAGAUCUAUGAUUGCAAAUAUUUCCCCCCAAGAAUGGGAAUUCUUAAAACCACUUUGGAAAAACUUUGGCUUUAUCUGCUAAGGUUGAAAACAUAUAUAACCUAUGGACCCAAUAAUCCACUCCUGCAUAAACACCCAACAGAAAUGAAAACACGUUUUCCAUCAAACAUAUUCAACAGUGUUUACAACAGCAUCAUUCGUAAUAACAAUUGAAAGACUGAAAAUCACCCAGACAUCCUGUGGUUAGGCUGAGUAACAGUGCCCCCAAAAAUGUCCACAUUCAAAUCCCUGGAACCUGCAAAUUUUACCUGACUUGGCAGAGACUUUGCAGAUAUGACUGAGGAUCUUGAGGGGGGUAAAUAAGAUUUCCAGUCAGCAUGUAAGGAGUUUUGAGGUCAUCACUUUGUCCUAAGUAGAGCUGUCAGGGCGCGGUGGCUCACACCUGUAAUCCCAGCACUUUGGGAGGCCGAGGCGGGUGGAUCACCUGAGGUCAGGAGUUCAAGAUAAGCCUGGUCAACAUGGUGAAACCCCAUCUCUACUAAAUAUACAAAUAUUAGCUGGGCAUGUUGGCAGGUGCCUGUAGUCCCAGCUGCUCGGGAGGCUGAGGCAGGAGAAUCGCUUGAACCCGGGAGGCGGAGGUUGCAGUGAGCUAAGAUCAUGCCAUUGCGCUCCAGCCUGGGCAACAAGAGCAAAAUUUCGUCUGAAAAAAAAAAAAAGAAAAAGCAGUAGAGCUGUGGGAGAAAUGGUCACAGGGCAAACCACUGCCUCCCAAAUUGGAGACAGACAGGUGACACAGAAUCACAACUUACCGGAGCAGAAAUCACUGGGCAUACACCUCCAUGGGAACCAGUACUGGGACAGAGGAAUCUGAAUUGUAAUUGAUGAAUUGCCCAGAGGUUCAGUUUGGGUAAGUGUGUGAGUUAAUAAUUCUACAAACACCCAGUCAUAAGAGGGUCCCCACACUUUGUGAGUUUUACCUCUAGGAGCUCUCCCAGGUUCUCACCGUGAAGAUCAGAGUGAAGAUUUCACCAUGAAGAUCUCUCGUGCUUCUGGCAAGGGAGGGGGAAAGUAACCAUUUUGAAAUAUGCCAGAGCAUUCUGUUCUUAACAAGGCCUGUCCUCAAGAAAAAUGAUUCUGCCACAGCCUUACCUGUUGAGGUUUUAUCAGAGCCAAAUCAACCUGGUGGAAGGGAAACACCUAACUCCAGCCCCUUCUAGACAUCCUGUCCCACCUAAAGGGGGUGGGGGUACUGAAAAGCACUUGUGAAGUUUACAUCCCAGGGGCACAGGCUUGCUAAAACUGAGACCUUAUCAUACAAAUACAGAAAGCUUCCUCUCCCCCCAUACCGCUAAAUGACUACUUACCAGAGUUCCUUUUACUGUACAUCAUAUCCAGCUGUUAAUAAAAAAGUACGAAGCAUACAAAAAACAGUUUGAAGACAGAGCAAGCAUCAGAACCAGACUGGGAUAUAGCAGCGAUGUUGGAAUUAUCAGACCAUGAAUUUAAAACAACUAUGACUAAUACGCUAAGGACUCUAGUGGAAAAAGUAGACAACAUGCAAGAACAGAUGGGUAAUGUUAAGCAGAGAGGUGAAGUCUAAGAGCGUAUCAAAAAGAAAUGCUAGAGAUUAAGAAAAAGCUAACAAAGAAUGCCUUUGAUGGGCUCACUAGCAGACUGGAUUGAAGGAGAGAAUCGCUAAGCUGAGGAAAGAAUUGCUGAGCUGGAGGACACGUCAAUAGCAACUUCCAAAACUGAAAAGCAAAGAAAAAACAGACACACACGCACACAAAGGAACAAAAUGUGCAAGAACUGUGGGGCAAGUCCAAACGGUGUAACAUGUAGAUAAUAGGCAUACCAAGAGAAGAAAGGAACAAAAUAAAUAUUUGAAGCAAUGACUGAGAAUUUCCCCAGAUUAAUGUUACACCAAACUACAGAUCCAUGAAGUUCAGGAAGCAUUAAGAAAGAUAAAUGGGCUGGGUGCGGUGGCUCACACCUGUAAUCCCAACACUUUGGGAGGUCGAGGCAAGAGGAUUGCUUGAGCCCAGGAGUCUGAGACCAGCCUGAACAACACGGUGAAACCCUGUCUCCACGAACAAUACAAAAAUUAGCUGGGUGUGGUGGCGCAUGCCUGUAGCCCCAGCUACUAGGGAGGCUGAGCUGGGAGGAUUGCUUGAGCCUGGGAGGCAGAGGUUGUAGUGAGCCCUGAUUGAGUCACUGCACUCCAGCCUGAGCAACAGAGUGAGAACUUGUCUCAAAAAAUAAAAUAAAAUUAAUAAAAUAAUAAAAUAAAAUGAAAAAUAAAUGAAAAAAAAAAACCCUACACCUAGGCAUAUCAUAUUCAAAUUACAGAAAAUUAAAGAAAAAGUCUUGAAAGAAGCCAGAGGAAAAAAUAUCCUCUAGAGGAGCAAACAUAAGAAAUUCAUCUGAUUCCUUUUCAGAAACAAUGCAAGCAAGAGAGUGCAGUGAAAUAUUUAAAGUGUGGAGGGAGAGUAUACGGAAUUAUUCAGGGGGGGCCAAUUUAAUCACUUCAGUCCUUACAACAGGGAGGCAGGGAGGUCAGAAUGAAAGUGAUGUGAUGGAUGCAGAGUUGAAGAUGCUAGGCUGCUGGCUUUGGAGAAGGGGCCAAGAGCCAAAGAAUGCAGGCAGCUUCUAGAUGCCAGAAAGACAACAGAUACUUGGCCGGGCGCGGUGGCUCACGCCUGUAAUCCCAGCACUUUAGGAGGCGGAGGAGGGCGGAUCAUGAGGUCAGGAGAUCAAGACCAUCCUGGCUAACAUGGUGAAACCCUGUAUCUACUAAAAAUACAAAAAAUUAGCCGGGCGUGCUGGCGGGC
rnacentral:lncRNA from 1 species